AGAGGCGUGAAUCGUCGUUGCUUCCAAUACUGCUGAUCCUCGCGGAUCGCGCUUCUUAAGCUUGACCUCAAAUCAGGUAGGACUACCCGCUGAACUUAAGCAUAUCAAUAAGCGGAGGAAAAGAAACUAACAAGGAUUCCCCUAGUAACUGCGAGUGAAGCGGGAAGAGCUCAAAUUUUGAAUCUGGCGGUCUUUCGGCCGUCCGAGUUGUAAUCUAGAGAAGUGUUUUCCGCGCUGGACCGUGUACAAGUCUCCUGGAAGGGAGCGUCAUAGAGGGUGAGAAUCCCGUCUCUGACACGGACCCCCAGUGCUAUGUGAUGCGCUCUCGACGAGUCGGGUUGUUUGGGAAUGCAGCUCAAAUCGGGUGGUAAACUCCAUCUAAAGCUAAAUAUAGGCGAGAGACCGAUAGCGAACAAGUACCGUGAGGGAAAGAUGAAAAGAACUUUGGAAAGAGAGUUAAACAGUACGUGAAAUUGCUGAAAGGGAAACGCUUGAUGUCAGUCGCGUCGGCCAGGAAUCAACCUUGCAUUUUGCUGGGCGUAUUUUCUGGUCGACGGGUCAGCAUCAGUUUCGAUCGUCGUACAAGGGCGAAGGGAAUGUGGCACUCUUCGGGGUGUGUUAUAGCCUUUCGUCGUAUGCGACGGUCGGGACUGAGGAACUCGGCACGGCUCUGCUUGUGCUCAGGAUGCUGGCAUAAUGGCCUUAAGCGACCCGUC
rnacentral:rRNA from 1 species